rnacentral:rRNA from 1 species
CUUGUCUUAAGGAUUAAGCCAUGCAUGUCUAAGUGCGGUGUACUCAAACACGCCAGACUGCGGACGGCUCAUUAUAACAGUUAUAGUUUAUUUGAUGGUUCUUUUACGUGGAUAACCGUGGUAAUUCUAGAGCUAAUACAUGCCAAAAUCCCCGAGCCUCCGGGCGAGGGGAGCAUUUAUUAGAUGCCGAACCCAAUGGCCUCCGGGCCUAAUUGAGGACUCAUAAUAACUCAAGCAGAUCGUUCGAACGAACGGCGUAUCAUUCAAGUUUCUGACCUAUCAGUUAGUCGGUAGUGUAUUGGACUACUGAGGCUCUGACGGGUAACGGAGAAUUAGGGUUCGAUUCCGGAGAGGGAGCCUGAGAAACGGCUACCACAUCUAAGGAAGGCAGCAGGCGCGUAACUUACCCAAUCCUGACUCAGGGAGGUAGUGACAAGAAAUCACAAUAUUUCGCUCAAUUGAGCAAAGUAAUUGGAUUGAGAACAGGCUAAACAUGUUAACGAUAAACCAUUGGAGGGCAAGUCUGGUGCCAGCAGCCGCGGUAAUUCCAGCUCCAAUAGCGUAUACUAACGUUGUUGCAGUUAAAAAGCUCGUAGUUGGAUUUUUAGUNGCGCGGACCGGCCGUGGCCUUUAGUGUCGUGUGCCUGGUUCGUCGUGACUAUUUUGGCCCAGCGUGUCGUUGGCAUUAGUUUGUCGACGGCUCCGCCAGGUCGAGUUUACUUUGAGAAAAUUAGAGUGUUCAAAACAGUCAAUCGAUUGUAUAUCAUAGCAUGGAAUAAUAACUGAUGACCUCGGUCACCUUUUGUUGGGUUCAGAUGGCUGAGUUA